CAUUGCUGGAACGCGCCCCAGGCGCACCCAGAAACCCUUUGUGAACUUAUACCUUACUGUUGCCUCGGCGCAUGCUGGCCCCCUCGGGGUCCCUUGGAGACAAGGAGCAGGCACGCCGGCGGCCAAGUUAACUCUUGUUUUUACACUGAAACUCUGAGAAAAAACACAAAUGAAUCAAAACUUUCAACAACGGAUCUCUUGGUUCUGGCAUCGAUGAAGAACGCAGCGAAAUGCGAUAAGUAAUGUGAAUUGCAGAAUUCAGUGAAUCAUCGAAUCUUUGAACGCACAUUGCGCCCUCUGGUAUUCCGGAGGGCAUGCCUGUUCGAGCGUCAUUUCAACCCUCAAGCAUUGCUUGGUGUUGGGGCACUGCCUGUAAAAGGGCAGGCCCUGAAAUCUAGUGGCGAGCUCGCCAGGACCCCGAGCGCAGUAGUUAAACCCUCGCUUUGGAAGGCCCUGGCGGUGCCCUGCCGUUAAACCCCCAACUUUUGAAAAUUGAC
rnacentral:rRNA from 1 species